GAUGAAGAACGUAGUGAAAUGCGAUAAGUAAUGUGAAUUGCAGAAUUCAGUGAAUCAUCGAAUCUUUGAACGCACAUUGCGCCCGCUAGUAUUCUGGCGGGCAUGCCUGUCCGAGCGUCAUUUCAACCCUCAAGCCCCCGGGCUUGGUGUUGGGGAUCGGCGAGCCUCCGCGCCCGCCGUCCCCUAAAUCUAGUGGCGGUCUCGCUGUAGCUUCCUCUGCGUAGUAGCACACCUCGCACUGGGAAACAGCGCGGCCACGCCGUUAAACCCCCAACUUCUGAACGUUUGACCUCGGAUCAGGUAGGAAUACCCGCUGAACUUAAGCAUAUCAAUAAGCGGAGGU
rnacentral:misc_RNA from 1 species